GACGAACGCUGGCGGCGUGCUUAACACAUGCAAGUCGAGCGGAGCGGCGAACGGGUGAGUAACGCGUGAAUAACUUCCCCCCUCUCUGGGAUAACAGUUGGAAACGGCUGCUAAUACCGGAUCGUGUGGGUUGACUCGCGUCCUAUCGGCUUGUUGGUUGGGUAGUGGCCUACCAAGGCGACGACGGGUAUCCGCCCUUAGAGGGCGACCGGCCACAUUGGGCUCAGAUACGGUGCAAACUCCUACGGUAGGCAGCAGUGGGGAAUCUUGCACAAUGGGGCAAACUCUGAUGCAGCAACGCGCGUGCGGAAUGACGGCCGUCGGGUUGAAAACCGCUUUCAGCCAUGACGCGGUAGUGGCAGAAGAAGCAACGGCUAACUACGUGCCAGCAGCCGCGGUAAUUC
rnacentral:rRNA from 1 species